rnacentral:rRNA from 1 species
AUGCUCCCUCUGCACCAGCAAGAUCACUCUCUCGAAAAUUCUCUAAUUCUCAGGUAUGAACAUACACUUUCUAAACUUAAUCAGUACUACGAACAAAGGAGUAAGAAGGGUUGGGUCAAAUAUGGUGAUAGGAAUACUAGGUUCUUUCAUCAAGCUGUGCUCAAGAGAAGGAAAAGAAAUACUAUAUGCUCUAUUAAGGAUGAAAAUGAUGUUACCCAUUUUAAACCUAGUCUCGCUAAUACUUUUGUUAAUUAUUUUAGCAAUGUUGGAAGACCUUUUCUUGGUACUCAUUUGCCAGAAAAUUCUGAGGAUCUAACUUAUUCCAUUCCAGACAAGAAUGAAAUUUUACAGAUUCUAAAGGAUAUGAAGCUGAAUGCUUCACCUGGACCUGACGGCUUUAAUGUGGAGUUCUAUAUUGCUACAUGGGAAUGGAUAGGAGAUGAAGUCACUCAAUUGGUGGUUAACUUCUAUAGAACAGGUAUGCUACCACCUCACAUAAGUGAUACCAAUAUAGCUCUCAUUCCCAAAAAGCUUGUUCCUCAGGUUCCUAUGGACUGUAGA